rnacentral:rRNA from 1 species
GAUGAACGCUAGCUACAGGCUUAACACAUGCAAGUCGAGGGGCAGCAUGAAGUUUGCUUGCAAACUUUGAUGGCGACCGGCGGAUGGGUGAGUAACGCGUAUCCAACCUGCCCCCUUCCCGGGCACAGCCCUUGGAAACGAGGAUUAACUCCCGAUGGCGUCGCCUUAACGCAUGUUUCGGCGACCAAAUGUUUAAGGAAGGGGAUGGGGAUGCGUCCCAUUAGCUUGUUGGCGGGGUAACGGCCCACCAAGGCAUCGAUGGGUAGGGGUUCUGAGAGGAAGGUCCCCCACACUGGAACUGAGACACGGUCCAGACUCCUACGGGAGGCAGCAGUGAGGAAUAUUGGUCAAUGGUCUGACGACUGAACCAGCCAUGCCGCGUGAAGGUCACGGCCCUAUGGGUCUUAAACUUCUUUUGUAAGGGAGCAAUAAGUCUCACGUGUGGGAUGAUGAGAGUACCUUACGAAUAAGCAUCGGCUAACUCCGUG